rnacentral:tRNA from 1 species
GCCUCGGUAGCGCAGUAGGCAGCGCGUCAGUCUCAUAAUCUGAAGGUCGUGAGUACGAUCCUCACACGAGGCA